rnacentral:rRNA from 1 species
GACCAGACUCCUACGGGAGGCAGCAGUGGGGAAUAUUGCACAAUGGGGGAAACCCUGAUGCAGCGACGCCGCGUGAGUGAAGAAGUAUUUCGGUAUGUAAAGCUCUAUCAGCAGGGAAGAAAAUGACGGUACCUGACUAAGAAGCCCCGGCUAACUACGUGCCAGCAGCCGCGGUAAUACGUAGGGGGCAAGCGUUAUCCGGAUUUACUGGGUGUAAAGGGAGCGUAGACGGCAUGGCAAGUCAGAUGUGAAAGCCCGGGGCUCAACCCCGGGACUGCAUUUGAAACUGUCAGGCUGGAGUGCAGGAGAGGUAAGUGGAAUUCCUAGUGUAGCGGUGAAAUGCGUAGAUAUUAGGAGGAACACCAGUGGCGAAGGCGGCUUACUGGACUGUAACUGACGUUGAGGCUCGAAAGCGUGGGGAGCAAACAGGAUUAGAUACCCCUGUA